rnacentral:misc_RNA from 1 species
GAUGAAGAACGUAGCGAAAUGCGAUAAGUAAUGUGAAUUGCAGAAUUCAGUGAAUCAUCGAAUCUUUGAACGCACAUUGCGCCCAUUAGUAUUCUAGUGGGCAUGCCUGUUUGAGCGUCAUUAAGUCCACUUAAGCCCAGCUUAGUGUUGGGAGACUGCUCCAGCGGUGCUACCCUGUAGCUACCCUGCAGCUCCUCAAAGACAGCGGCGGAGUUGUGGUAUCCUCUGAGCUUAGUAACUUGUUCUAGCUUUCGAGUACACCACUUCCCCUGCCGUAAAAACCCUUAAUUUUUAAUGGUUGACCUCGGAUCAGGUAGGAAUACCCGCUGAACUUAAGCAUAUCAAUAAGCGGAGGA